rnacentral:rRNA from 1 species
UACGUAGGGUGCAAGCGUUAAUCGGAAUUACUGGGCGUAAAGCGUGCGCAGGCGGCUUUGCAAGACAGAUGUGAAAGCCCCGGGCUCAACCUGGGAACUGCAUUGGAAACUGGCGGGCUUGAGUGUGGCAGAGGGGGGUGGAAUUCCACGUGUAGCAGUGAAAUGCGUAGAGAUGUGGAGGAACACCGAUGGCGAAGGCAGCCCCCUGGGCUAACACUGACGCUCAGGCACGAAAGCGUGGGGAGCAAACAGG